rnacentral:lncRNA from 1 species
AAGCCUUCCUUCACCCUCACCUGCUCCUUUUUUAAACCGAACCAUUUCUUUUGAACCGAACCGAACCGCUCCUUUCACCUCUCUCACUUGCCUCUUUUCUAAAUUGAACCACUCUUCUAACAUCUAAACCGAACCCUUCACUACGUCUCUGAACCUCUAAAUCAAACUGAACCGCUUCUAACAUCUAAACCGAAUUCUUUACUACGUUUCUAAACCUCUAAACCGAACUGAACUAUCUCUCUCUGAACCUCUGAACCAAACCACUCACUACAUCUUUAAACCUUUGAACCGAACCAAACUGCCUCUCUUUUUUCUAGUCUUUGUACAACAAGGAACGUUUCCUCUCCCCUCCCCUUCGCGUCAUUCAUUCUCCCCCCAUCCGUUGCAUCUUCUCUCCUUCUUUAUGCGUCGUUCCCUCUCCUCCGUGUCCGUUCUUCUCCCCCCUUCUUCUCUCUCUUAGUUUUUUUUUCUGCUUAGUUCGCUUGUUCGCCUCCCCUUUCUCUCUCUCAAGUACGCCCGUUCGCCUUGCUGCACAUCCGCACUCCUCUUCUCCCCUCCCCUCUCUUUCCUCCCAUCCUCUUCCUCACCUUGCCGCACUCAACAAUGGCUCCAUCCUCCGCGGGAACUACGGCCUCCUUCG